rnacentral:rRNA from 1 species
AGCAGUCGCCACGGUAAUACGUAGGGUGCAAGCGUUAAUCGGAAUUACUGGGCGUAAAGCGUGCGCAGGCGGUUAUAUAAGACAGAUGUGAAAUCCCCGGGCUCAACCUGGGAACUGCAUUUGUGACUGUAUAGCUAGAGUACGGCAGAGGGGGAUGGAAUUCCGCGUGUAGCAGUGAAAUGCGUAGAUAUGCGGAGGAACACCGAUGGCGAAGGCAAUCCCCUGGGCCUGUACUGACGCUCAUGCACGAAAGCGUGGGGAGCAAACAGGAUUAGAUACCCCGGUAGUCCCUGUCUCUUAUAA